GCGCGUGUAGCUCAGGGGUUAGAGCACAGGUCUUAUAAACCUGGGGUCGGUGGUUCAAAUCCACCCACGCGCA
rnacentral:tRNA from 1 species